rnacentral:rRNA from 1 species
UACGGGGGGGGCAAGCGUUGUUCGGAAUUACUGGGCGUAAAGGGCUCGUAGGCGGCCAACUAAGUCAGACGUGAAAUCCCUCGGCUUAACCGGGGAACUGCAUCUGAUACUGGAUGGCUUGAAUCCGGGAGAGGGAUGCAGAAUUCCAGGUGUAGCGGUGAAAUGCGUAGAUAUCUGGAGGAAUACCGGUGGCGAAGGCGGCAUCCUGGACCGGCAUUGACGCUGAGGAGCGAAAGCCAGGGGAGCAAACGGGG